rnacentral:rRNA from 1 species
GCUUGUCUCAAAGAUUAAGCCAUGCAUGUCUAAGUAUGAACCUUCAUACGGUGAAACUGCGAACGGCUCAUUAUCAACAGUCAUCAUUUACUUGGUCAUUGGACGGUUAGAAAGUCCUACAUGGAUACCUGUCGGUAACACCAGAGCUAAUACAUGCUUGAACUUCCUCGCAAGGGGAUGCAUUUAUUAGAUUCCACCAACACGGCGCGCGUAAAAAACACGUCGGUCGGGUGAUUCAUAGUAAGCUUCGAUGCGAACCGUUCUUUUCACAAGAAUGGUGAACCAAUCAAGUUUCUGCCCUAUCAGCUUUCGUCGGUUGGAUAUGCGCCAACCGAGGCUUCCACGGGUAACGGGGGAUUAGGGUUUGAUUCCGGAGAGGGGGCCUGAGAGAUGGCCACCACAUCUAAGGAAGGCAGCAGG